rnacentral:lncRNA from 1 species
AUGGGAAACAGUAUAGGCCAACCUUACCCAAACCUUGGGGUUUUGUAUUUUUGUUUAAAAAAAAAAAAAAGUACAUUUAAAACUAUGCUCUGUGGAAAUACGACCCACGCCACGCAGUGCAACUCGCCCUUGCGAACCGUCACGGAUCGGCCCAGCCCGGGAGCCGCCGGGGCCCGGGGCGCUGAGGGAGCCCCGGGGCGGCUCCUCAGGCGGCGGCCGGGCCCCCUCAGCGGCCGCUCCCCGCCGCAGGCCGGGCCCGCCGGGCUGACCCAUCCCCUCAGCUCCCCACACCGGACCGCGGCCUCGCCCAGCCCCUCCGACACAACCGGUAGCCGCGCUCCGGCCCAGCGCCACCGGGGAGGGAGGGAGGAAGGAAAGGCGAGCGGGAGAGGAGGCACCCUCUCCCCGCGGGGGCCGGCCCGCCGCCGGGGCGCUGUCAGGGCGCGGGUCCCCGCCUACGCGCCCCGCCCCGCCGCGGCCUGGCCGGGGCCUGCCGCUGCCGCUUCCCCUCCUCCGCGCGUCCCGCCGGGAGACUCGCCUCGGACAAGCCGCUCACUCCGCUUCCGCCAUCUUCUCGCCUCCCUCAGGGGGAGGUGCCGCGCAGGCGCCUUGGACCGUCGCCGUUGCCGCCGCCGGCGGGCACGUGACGGCGCCCGCCGCCAUCUUGUCGCUGGAGCGGGGCGUCGUCCGGGAGGUGAGGCCAGGCCCGGGCUGGCACCCGGUAGUCGGCACCGCGNCCUCGGACAAGCCGCUCACUCCGCUUCCGCCAUCUUCUCGCCUCCCUCAGGGGGAGGUGCCGCGCAGGCGCCUUGGACCGUCGCCGUUGCCGCCGCCGGCGGGCACGUGACGGCGCCCGCCGCCAUCUUGUCGCUGGAGCGGGGCGUCGUCCGGGAGGUGAGGCCAGGCCCGGGCUGGCACCCGGUAGUCGGCACCGCGGGGGCGUCCCGGGUUUCGGUUAGAGAGCGAUUGGAUUCACGUCAGUGCAGGGAGGCUGUGUCAGGGGGCGGCAGCCUGGCUGGGGUGAGGCACCUGGCCUCCUGCAGGGCUGUGUGGCAGCAGGGAUUUGCUUCAUUUUUCCUGGGGAAGUGGUGGAGUUGA